rnacentral:misc_RNA from 1 species
GAUGCCCAAACAGCCUUGAAACCAUUAAUAGAUCUGGCAUUGUCUCUGUCAAAAUUGAAGGACUUCACAGGCAGGGAGAAGCCUACAGUUAUCACAUAAUGCAUAUCCUUGAAUUGUUAGUAUCAUGAAUCAAGUGGCAUCUUGGAAUUUCAUCUCUUUUCUUUUUGGCUUAAUUUGCUACAUGUAUUAGCUGUUCAAUUUUGGUUCUGUAGCCAUCUGUUAUUGUGAUAUAAUUAGUCCAGGUAAAGUAAAUAAAACAGCCAAGUGGAAAUAAAAUCUGUCAUUUGGUUCCUGCCUUUUAAUCUCGACUUCUUGAUUCGGUACCGUCGCGGAUGGAUAGCAGCGUAAAUAAUCCAAAUAUAUUACUAUUAAUUAUGAUCAAGUUUUGUUGUAGAUAAUUCAUUAUUCAGGUUCCAGUGCUGGAAUUUGGGCUUCUGGUUAAGAACUCCAGUGAGUAAAUUUCCAAUUGGGAAAAAAAAUAAAAAGGGAACUAGUGGAAAACAGCAUUAAAAUUCGAAACAUGUGUCAUUUAACUUUUAAUUUAUUUCAUCUGAUUGGUUUGAAAUGACUCAGAGAGUGGUGUUAGGAGCAGCAUGACAUUACAUGAUUAAAGGCCACUUGGAACGGGAUAGCAUCCAUUGCCUUGGAUGAUAGUACCAAGUUGCAGCUUCGUUUGAUGAAAUAGCAUGCCCAUUUAGUGUCUUGUGCGUGCAGAAGUAACAAGAAGGAUAUAUUGGUGUUGGGUACCACCUAGUGAGCAAUGGCCAACCCUUCGAAGGGCAUAAUAUGGUGGUAUUCCUAUGGGAAGCAAAGUAGCUAGAAUCAGGGUUGAUCCUAUUGGUUUUUGGCCUCGGCAGAUAAGAUCUCCAUCAUACAACAAAACAUCCAAUGAGCUAUCCCGACCAACUGUUGUGGGAGCUGAGUGUACAACUAAGAUAAACCAUGACCACCUUAUAAGCUGUAGUGGGAGAAAUAUUGUGCUUAUAAUUCAUCCCAAUCUUGUUUCAAAUGCAAGCCAACCCCAAUUGACAUAAUGGAACAGCAAGCACUCAAGACACUAUAUUUGACCUCUGAAGCUUUGCAUGUACUAGUACAAGCUCGCCUCUCAGAAAACUUUUAUGCCUUUUUUAUCAGGGUGUGACAUUCUCUAACUACAUUUUCUCUUAUUCACUGAAGAAAAGCACCUUGAAAAAACAAGGGGACCCUAGAAGUGUGCUUUUUCAAUUUGAAUUGAAGGUUUCCUUUCUCUUUGUAUAUAGCACAUUAGAGUGUUAAACCUCUAAUGUAUCACCACUACCUGGUGAAUAAUAAUAGAACGAAAGCUUUUGGCCACAAUUCACAAGUGAUGUUUAAACAUUGGAUAUAUAACAUAGUG